GGGUUGGUGGUCUAAUGGCUAUCAUUUCUGCUGCAUAAGCAGAAAGUCAUGGGUUCAAUCCCAUUCCGUCCCU
rnacentral:tRNA from 1 species